rnacentral:rRNA from 1 species
UGGGGAAUAUUGGACAAUGGGCGAAAGCCUGAUCCAGCCAUGCCGCGUGAGUGAUGAAGGCCCUAGGGUUGUAAAGCUCUUUCAGUGGGGAAGAUAAUGACGGUACCCACAGAAGAAGCCCCGGCUAACUUCGUGCCAGCAGCCGCGGUAAUACGAAGGGGGCUAGCGUUGUUCGGAUUUACUGGGCGUAAAGCGCACGUAGGCGGAUUGUUAAGUCAGGGGUGAAAUCCUGGAGCUCAACUCCAGAACUGCCUUUGAUACUGGCAAUCUAGAGUCCGGAAGAGGUGAGUGGAACUCCUAGUGUAGAGGUGGAAUUCGUAGAUAUUAGGAAGAACACCAGUGGCGAAGGCGGCUCACUGGUCCGGUACUGACGCUGAGGUGCGAAAGCGUGGGGAGCAAACA